rfam:Myotis brandtii contig163421, whole genome shotgun sequence.
GCGGGGCCUGGUGGUGCGCACUUGUAGUCCCAGCUACUCAGGAAGCUGAGGCAGGAAGAUCACUUGAGCCCAGGAGUUCUGGGAUGUAGCACGCUAUGCAAAUUUGGUGUCUGCACUAAGUUGGCCAUCAAUAUGGUGACCUCCAGGAAGCAGGGGACCACCAGGUUGCCUAAGAAGUGAACUUCCCCAGGCUGGAAACGAAGCAGGUCAAUACUUCUGUGCUGAUCAGUACUGGGAUUGUGCCUGUGAAUGCCACUGCAUUCCAGCCUGGGCAACACAGCAAGACCCCACUCUU